UAAGCAAAAGCUUCGCAUAGCUGGGAAUU
rnacentral:piRNA from 1 species